GGAGGCAAGGUCCAGCGUACGGUCCGGGGGAACCUUAACUGUCGUUUCUGUGCCUGGACAGUAGGUUGGAGAGUGGGGUCUGAAUGAGCUACAGUAGUGAACGCCGACGGCUUGUGUUGAGGGCAGGAAAGGGUGCACACAGCUCCGGCAGGUGCUUCCGCGAGAAAGGUGACUGAUACAACAACGUAGAGGACCCUGCAAUGUGGAGAGGCAUGAAACUGGAGGUCCAGUGCCGUGAGUUAACAAUCAAGACGUCCAUACAGGAGAUGCAUUGGUGGAUGGGUGAAGAGAUGAUAAAACGGAUAAUUCAGUGGUGAUCUUCAGAAGAAUUCCACAAAAAACCAAAUUAACAGAUGAAACAAUCUCAUAAGCCACUUGAAACUGAAUUUCUCUAGAACAAGAGUCUAUAAAAUUUUUUGAUCAAACACCCACUGGAAAAAUUUUUUAGCGUGGACACCCAGUAUUUGAAGUUCUUGGUAAAUUACUGUGAGUAAAGAUUUAACCAACCCCUUGUCCUUAUCUAUGAACAAACUUCACUUUGUGUUAACUUUAACUUGUCAUAGAAACCUUAUGAAGGCAGAGUGUUCAUUGUGGUAUAAAACAACAUUGGUUGUAGGCCAGGCGCGGUGGCUCACGCCUGUAAUCCCAACACUUUGGGAGGCCAAGACAGGUGGAUCACCUGAGGUCAGGAGUUCAAGACCAGCCUGGCCCACAUGGCAAAACCCCAUCCCUACUAAAAAUACAAAAAUUAGCUGGGUGUGGUGGCACAUGCAUGUAAUCCCAGCUACCUGGGAGGCUGAGGCACAAGAAUCACUUGAACUCAGGAGGUGGAGGUUGCAGUGAGCCGAGAUCACACCACUACACUCCAGCCUAGGUGACAAGAGUGAAACUCCAUCUCCAAAUAAAUAAAUAAAACAUUGCUCAUGGUAAAAAUGACCUCUGACAUGUAGACUGCCUCUGGCUUGAAAGUACUGAAUAAUCUUAAAACACCUAGUGGGAAGCCAUACC
rnacentral:lncRNA from 1 species